AUUGAACGCUGGCGGCCGGCCUAACACAUGCAAGUCGAACGAGUGGCGGACGGGUGAGUAAUGUCUGGGAAACUGCCCGAUGGAGGGGGAUAACUACUGGAAACGGUAGCUAAUACCGCAUACCAUCGGAUGUGCCCAGAUGGGAUUAGCUUGUAGGUGAGGUAACGGCUCACCUAGGCGACGAUCCCUAGCUGGUCUGAGAGGAUGACCAGCCAACUGGGCACAGAGACACGGGCCAGACUCCUAGGGGAGGCAACAGGUGGGAUUAUUGCGAAAUGGGCGACAGCCUGAUGAAGCCAUGCCGCGGGUAUGAAGAAGGCCUUCGGGUUUUAAUGUACGGUCAGCGGGGAGGCGGUCCCCGCAGAAGAAGCACCGGCUAACGCCGGGCCAGCAGCCGCGGUAAGUC
rnacentral:rRNA from 1 species